rnacentral:lncRNA from 1 species
GGGGCCCCAGCCGUCAGUGAGCAGCCCUGCAGCAGAUUUAACCCCAAUAAUAUUUGAAGUCCUACUGAAGUGCCAUGUCAAAGGCAUUACAGUAGCUCUGAAGAAAAAGUAAAAUACCUUCUGAAACAACUCUGGGAAGAAGCUCACCACCCGGCCACGAUACCCACUUCUUGCUGCCAAGAAGCUUCUAGCUACACGGUUUUUCCUUCCACCCCACAGUGCAGUGGAAACAAGACCCAAGCUCUUCUCAAGGAGUAAGCACAGGACAAGUUUCCUGCUAAGUGGUCCUAAGUCAACAAGGCCAUCUGAUAGGAAUUUGAGGAGUAGUGAAUUUUAUAGGAAUAGAGGGGAAAGGACUCUUUUUCCAUGUAGGCUUCUCUUGGAGUGGGGAGAUUAGGAAAUCUCCAUGAUAUAAAAUGAUGAAAGUUCGAAUCAUUGUCACCCUACCGGAAAGACUCCAAUUUGACCUUAGUGCUUAAUCCCUUUAGUUUGAAGUGUAGCUUAAAAGUAUUUAAAUAAAAUACAGCUGCCCCCAAA